rnacentral:lncRNA from 1 species
UGGAAAACAUAUAUAAAACUAUAUAUUAGAAUAGCAUACAUAACCAACAAGCAAAUUCAAGUGGACAAAUGUUGCUUGAAAUCACAGCCAUGUUCCUUCUCUGAAACUUCAAUUGCUUUAUUAUACUAUUAUAGGCAUAGCCAAGUCAAGCCUGCACCGCGUGGAGCCUAAUCAAUACAAUCAGAGACUGCUGUUUGCCUUUUCCAUUUUGCAUCUCAUACUGCUCUGUCUUCUCAAUAUUUACUUGCCAUUUCUUGCUCACCUCCCCUGCUUUUAGUUUUCCUUGCACCUUUUCUACCUCUUCUUUCCAUUCCAAAACAAGCUAUGGCUGAUGCAAUUCUUUCUGCUCUCGCGAGUACAAUCGUGGGAACUUGGAUUCCUUAUUUCUUCAAGAGCAUGGACUUGCUGGGGGCCUAGAGACUGAGCUUGAAAAUCUCAAGCGCACGUUCAGAACCAUUCAAGCUGUGCUGCAAGAUGCAGAGGAGAAGCAGUGGAAGAGUGAGCCUAUCAAGGUGUGGCUCAGCGACCUCAAGGAUGCAGCUUAUGUUGUUGAUGAUGUACUGGAUGAGUUUGCAAUUGAAGCUCAGUGGCUUCUGCAGCGAAGAGAUCUCAAAAAUCGAGUAACAUCCUUCUUUUCUUUUGGUCAUAAUCCACUAGUUUUUCGACAAAGGAUGGCUCAUAAAUUGAAGAAUGUUAGAGAAAAACUAGAUGCCAUUGCCAAGGAGAGACAAAGUUUCCACCUAACAGAGGGGGUUGUGGAGAUGGAAACAAAUAGUUCUGUUCAGCGUCAGACUUGGUCUUCGGUGAAUGAAUCAGAAAUUUAUGGAAGAGGCAAGGAGAAAGAAGAACUAGUCAACAUCCUGCUCUCUAAUGCAGACAAUCUCCCUAUUUAUGCUAUAUGGGGAAUGGGGGGACUAGGAAAAACAACACUUGUUCAACUGGUCUUCAAUGAAGCAAGUGUUAAACAGCAAUUCGUUUGAGGAUCUGGGUGUGUGUAUCUACUGAUUUCGAUCUCAGAAGAUUAACAAGAGCCAUCAUAGAGUCCAUUGAUGGUGCCUCUUGUGAUCUUCAAGAAUUGGAUCCCUUGCAACAUGCCUCCAACAGAAAGUUAACUGGAAAGAAGUUUUUGCUUGUAUUGGAUGAUGUGUGGGAUGAUUAUGGUGAUAGGUGGAAUAAAUUGAAGGAGGUAUUAAGGUGUGGGCUAAAGGUAGUGCUGUCAUAGUAACUACGCGUAUUGAGAUGGUUGCUCAGAAUGGCAACAGCUUUUGUCAAGCACAUGGGGAGAUUGUCUGAAGAAGAUUCUUGGCAGUUGUUUCAACAGCUUGCAUUCGGGAUGAGAAGGAAAGAGGAGCGGGCACGCCUGGAAGCCAUUGGAGUAUCAAUAGUGAAGAAGUGUGGUGGUGUUCCUUUAGCUAUAAAGGCACUAGGGAACCUAAUGCGGUUAAAAGAAAGUGAAGAUCAGUGGAUAGCUGUCAAAGAAAGUGAGAUUUGGGAUCUAAGAGAAGAAGCAACGAGAUCUUACCUGCUUUGAGGUUGAGUUACUAAUCUAUCACCACAUUUGAAGCAAUGCUUUGCGUAUUUCGCUAUAUUUCCAAAAGAUCACGUGAUGAGGAGGGAGGAGCUGGUUGCUUUGUGGAUGGCAAAUGGCUUUAUUUCUUGCAGAAAGAAAUGGAUUUGCACGUCAUGGGCAUUGAGAUAUUCAAUGAACUAGUGGGAAGGUCAUUUCUGCAAGAGGUCGAGGAUGAUGGAUUUGGCAACAUAACAUGUAAAAUGCAUGAUCUUAUGCAUGAUCUUGCACAAUCCAUUGCAGUACAAGAAUGCUAUAACAGAAGGCGAUGGGAGUUGGAAAUUCCUAAAACUGCCCGUCAUGUUGCUUUUAUAACAAAUCAGUAGCUUCGUCUUCUAAGUUCUCAAGGUCCUAUCACUUCGCUCACUUCUUUGAGGAAUGAAGAGUAUGGAUGGAUGGGGAAAGAUUCCUGGUCGAAAACAUCGAGCCUUGAGUUUAAGAAUAUCCGGGUGAAGAAAUUGCCGAAGUCAAUUUGUGAUUUGAAACAUCUAAGGUAUCUAGAUGUGUCAGGCUCGAAGAUCAAAACACUGCCUGAAAGUACAACCUCUCUCCAAAACCUCCAGACACUAGAUCUGAGAGAUUGCAAUAACUCAUCCAAUUACCAAAAGGUAUGAAGCACAUGAAAAGUCUUGUCUAUCUUGACAUCGGGUUGUUAUUCACUUCGAUUUAUGCCUUGUGGAAUGGGGCAAUUGAUAUUCCUGCGAAAACUUACCCUGUUCAUUGUGGGUGGGAGAAUGGUCGUCGCAUAAGUGAGCUGGAAGGGCUGAAUAAUCUUGCUGGUGAAUUGAGUAUCACAGAUCUUGUGAAUGUUAAGAAUUUAAAAGAUGCCAAAGUGCCAAUUUGAAGUUGAAGACAGCUCUUUUAUCACUGACUUUAUCUUGGCAGGAAUGGAGAUUACCUUUUUGGCCCUCUGUCAUAUGUGCCACCAGAACAAAGAAAGAGUGUGGAUAUGGAGGUCCUUGAAGGGCUUCAACCUCAUUCAAAUCUGAAGAAGUUGAGGAUAUAUGGAUAUGGAGGUUCAACAUUUCCUAAUUGGAUGAUGAAGCUACCAUAUCUGGUAGAGAUGGAGCUAUCAGCGCACCACUGUGAACAACUUCCACCAUUGGGGAAACUACAGUUCCUCAAGAGUCUUAAAUUAUGGGGAAUGGAUGGUGUGAAGAGUAUUGACAGCAAUGUGUAUGGAGAUGGGCAGAAUCCAUUCCCAUCUUUGGAGACGCUGGCUUUCUAUUCAAUGGAGGGAUUAGAGCAAUGGGCUGCGUGUACUUUUCCUUGCCUUCGAGAUUUGAGGAUAGUCGGUUGCCCUGUGUUGAACGAAAUACCAAUUAUACCCUCCGUCAAAACAUUACACAUCACGGGAGUGAAUGCUUCGUUGCUGAUGUCAGUUAGGAAUCUCACUUCUAUCACCUCCCUUGAUAUAGGAGGGAUUCACGCUAUAAGGGAGCUUCCCGAUGGGUUUUUGCAAAAUCAUACCCUCCUUGAAAGCUUAGAAAUUGGUGGGAUGCGAGAUCUGGAGUCUUUGUCAAAUAGGGUAUUAGAUAACCUUUCUGCUCUUAAAAGCUUGAGGAUUUUUGAAUGCGAGAAACUUGAAAGCUUGCCAGAGGAAGGUCUUCGUAACCUCAAUUCCUUGGAGCUUUUAAGCAUAAAGUAUUGUGGAAGAUUAAAUUGUCUGCCAAUAAAUGGGAUGUGUGGCUUAUCUUCUCUUCGCGAGUUAUCUAUUGGAAGUUGUGAUAAAUUCACAUCUCUAUCAGAGGGAGUGCGGCAUCUGACGACACUUGAGGAUUUGAAGCUUGAAGGAUGUCCAAAGCUGAAUUCAUUGCCAGAGAGUAUCCAACAUCUCACUUCACUCCAAUCUCUAAGAAUAUGGAACUGCGAGGGAUUAGCUUCUUUGCCAAAUCAGAUUGGAUAUCUCACUUCUCUCCAAUCUCUAUACAUUCGGGGUUGUCCAAAUUUGAAGAAAAGGUGUGAGAAAGAUUUAGGCGAGGACUGGCCUAAGAUAGCUCACAUUCCUAGCAUUGACAUUAGAUGAGAAUAAAUUUUAUUUUUUUAGUUUUAAUUUGUUGUAAUUUUUUAAAUAACUUUAUCAAAUUCAUUAUUGUUAUAUUUUUCAUAUAAAUGUGUAAAAAUAAUUGAUUCAUGAUUAUUAUGGGGACAUUGGGGAUUGUGAUAGAUUAUUGUAUAGAGAUUAGACUUUUUGGCAUCGCAUUUAUGGGUAUAAAGAUUUUAUUGUAAUUUCCUUCCUCACAUAUUUUCUUUUGGUGAAAUUGCUUUUAGCUAAAGAUUACAUGAACCACGCUACGCAAACUGGAAAAAAAAAUCUUGGCAUUCAAACAUAUUUUAAAAAACAAGAAAAUGUUGGGAUCUGGAUCAUCAACUCGGCUAGGCUAGAUCAAAUAAGUUUCUCCUAUCUCACAACAUCUUAUGCACCAAACAAAGAAAUCAAAAUAGCGACCAUUUUAAGAAAAAAUAACAUUAAUAAAAAAAUAACAAAAAUACAUUUUAAUCUAACAGGUGUCAUAAAAGAAUUGAGAAUCCAAGGGGAAGAAAUGAUCUAAGCAAACCCCAAGUGCGCUUCUGGACAUGCAACCCAUGUAUAAGAUAAUGAUAAUUUUUUAAAAAUCUUUUAAAAAAUAAAAAAUAGAAUACAAAGCGUAUAAACAGAAAAAAAAAAAAUAUUGUGAUCUUUCUAACACUCUUGAAUGGGCAAUUUUCAUUAUCUCCUCUCGAUGUUCCACCUAAAACAUGUAGAGUGAUUUAACAUGAUGACCCGUUAACAAAAUGCACCAACAAUAAUUUUUAUUUAAAUAUUAUUUUUUAAAUAUCAAACUGGCCCUGUUUUAACCCACAAUUACAAAAUAAUUGAAUUGAAAAGACAAAUAUACCCUUUCACCCUAGUUUAAAAAAUCUUGACUUAAGGAUGUAAUUAAGUAAAUAAAUUGUUCAUUUGAAAAGUAGAAAACGGGCCGGCCCUUGUCUUGACCCAAUGAUUACCAAAAGACCAAAAAAAAAAAUUACGAGUAACCUUAAGAACACAGUUAAAAUAUAUUUGUUUUAAAGGGCAACAAAGUUAAUUCAUUAUGUUUUUUUAAUUAAAAAAUUAUAAUCACCCCUCAAUUGAAGCAAUUUUUAUUGCAUAUCAAGGGCAUCUGAGUCAUUACACUAUAUAAUAUAUAUAUAAAAAUACAUUCUAGAUCCUAAUCAAAUUAAUAAUGAUAGAUAUGUCCAAUUACAAUUGGACCCUGAAAAUAAUGUAAAUGAGUUUUUUAAGGUUAAAAUAAUAAAUAUACUAUUGUCGUCCACAUUUCUCUAAGUUUGUGUGCGCAGUAAAUUCAAAAUUUGUUUUAGUUUUUUUUAUGUAACUUUAUUUUUUUGUUAAUUUUUAAAUAUUUUUGAAUUCACACCUCUUUUAUUUAAUGAAACAGGCCGCAUACUAUUUUCAGAGAUCCGUUUAAGAGGGGCAAUAGCAUCCUUGUGAGUGCAAUUUUGUUCCCUUAUAUCUUUCCACUUGAUAUCGCCACCACAGCUUGAUCUCAUUCUCUCCGAUGUUGAUGUUUAUUGGAUUAGUCAUAUGUGAAGCUUAAACUCAAGAUGUUGUUGCUGAAGGGCUCUGGUAUUUUAUUUUAAUUUUAUCCUAAUCCACCCUUACUUUCUUCAUUCUUUUUUCUUAUAAGAUAACUGCAAAGUGUUUUAUAAUUAUGAUUAAUGAGCAAUCUGAUAAAAAAAACCAGGAAUGACCUUGAGCAAGAAUACAUCUAUUGGUUGGUCUCUUGGUGGUUAUCCUGGUCCUCCGGGACCAUACUACUGUGGUGUUGGUGUUGACGAAGCCUUCGGCAUUGUUGAUGCACAGUAGACGGCAUGCCUGUAUGCCGGUAUGAACAUUAGUGGUAUGAACGGAGAAGUGAUGUCGGGCGAGGUAAAAUAAAAGAACGAGCAUAUCCCCUCUACCAUUUUGAUCUUACAGUUCUAGUUUAGAACCAUUCUAAUCUUGUUCUGUCUUACAACGUUAAAGUGGAAAUUUCAUGCAGUGGAAAUUUCACGCUGGACCUUCAGUCGGUAUCUCUGUUGGAGAUGAAUUAUGGGCUGCAGCUCGGUACAUUCUGGAACUAUUCCCAUUUCUAUUGUUUUCUGAAAUGUCUAUAUUUAUGUUAACAGAGGAUUACUGAGGUUGCUGGAGUUGUGCUUUCAUUCGAUCCUAAGCCAACUCAGGUCAGUUUUUAUUUCAUCGUACCCUACUGGAUGCUGCCAGUGUGCAUGUUUUCAGUACUUUUAUUGUCUGAGCUCUCAGGAAAUUGGACUUCUGUUUUGUCAAGAAGAUUGGAAAGGAGCGGGGGCACACAAAAAUUACAGGUUCAAAUUUUUUUCGUUGAUUGAAGCUUAAUUUAUUUGCUUCUUUGUUCCACACUUGCUAUUUUUUUUUUAAUCUUAUACUUGAAAAUUCUUCACAUUUUCUGUGCUAUGUCUAUGAGAAAUGAAGGAGGCUGUGAAGUCAUCAAGAAAGCAGUUGAAAAGCUUGGUAUGAGGCAUAAAGAACAUAUCGCAGUCUAUGGCGAAAGGGAUUGAGCAGAGACUUGUUAAUUAUUUGGAGACAAACCAUGUCCCACCAUGUGCAAGUGGGAAUCCCCCACUUUGCACACGGUGGAGGCAACGGUGGACACAAAUGAUGAUGUCCUUCCCUCAUCCCUUGUAUAUGUAUAUGAGCUGUGUGUGUGCAUGUAUAACAGUGUGUGAAGAGAAGAAGAGAGAGUUGCAGUUGUGUGAAACACAAAGAGAAACACAUAGAGAGAGCUAGGGAGAGUUGAGUUGAGUUGAGAAGAAUUUUCUCAUCCUCCUUGUUUUGUUGUUUGUAUUGUUUGUAAGCUUGAUUAAUACAAACCAAUAGCUCCGUGGAGUAGGCAAGUUGCCGAACCACGUAAAUUGUGUGUGUUUGAGUUCUGGAAAUAUCCCAACAACUGGUAUCAGAGCUUGUUCUUGACGAAGAGGGUGUUUGAUCCAAACUCAAAAAUCAAUGUUCUCAAAACGUGUUUUUGACCAUACCAUCGUGUAGAGGACAACCGGACGAAUCCACUGGUGAAAACCCGGCGAAGAACCGACGUCCUGCAUGCCCGCACGCGCCACCGCACAGACGGCCCACGCGCAGCAACGCGCCUCACGCGCGACACGCUCCUUCUUCACCCGUUUUUCUGCAAAACGGGUCGGGUCUGACCCGCCACGUCAGCCAAGUCGCACGGUCAACGCCACGUCACCUGCCACGUCAUCCAUCUGGGUUUUGAUCUGGUGCACCGCAGAUGGUAAUCGUCUGACACGUGGCUGCAUCAUCACCGUCGAAGGGUUUGAUCCGGUGCGACUCAGGCUCUAAUCGGAGGACACGUGGACUAAUCUGCACCGUCACUGAGUUUUGAUCCGGUGCGACUAAAGGCUGUAAUCUGCUGACACGUGGCUUCAUCAGAACCGCUACUGAGUUUUUAUCCGGUGUGACGCAUGCCUUACUCUGUCUGACACGCGGCUGCAUCUGAACCGUCCGUUAAUCCAAAACUUUAAUUGCUAAAAUCUGAGCCAUCCAAAGUCCGAUUGGGGUGAUCUCAGUGUCAUUUCCAAGGUUUUUGGCCGUUCCGGACACAUCUGUAAGGUCAGAUUUGGCAAAUUCUAAUCAGAGAAAUAUUAAAAAUGGCAGAUGAAAUAAAGGCUGCAGGAAUUGAAAAAUUUGACGGAACAGAUUUUGGAUACUGGAAAAUGCAGAUUGAGGAUUAUUUAUAUGGGAAGAAACUUCAUCUUCCCUUAUUGGGAAGCAAACCAGAAAAGAUGGAAGAAGAAGAAUGGCAACUUCUUGAUAGACAAGUUCUGGGCAUUAUCCGGCUAUCGUUAUCAAGAAGAGUUGCUCACAAUGUUACGAAAGAAAAAUCCACUGCAAAAUUGAUGGAAGCCUUGUCUGGGAUGUAUGAGAAGCCAUCAGCAAAUAAUAAAGUGCACCUGAUGAAAAAGUUGUUCAACUUGAAGAUGGUCGAAAACGCUUCUGUGACACAACACCUCAACAACUUUAAUACCAUCACAAAUCAAUUAUCAUCUGUUGCGAUUGAGUUUGAUGAUGAGAUUCGUGCACUCAUCUUGCUAGCUUCACUUCCAAGCAGUUGGGAAGGCAUGAGGACAGCCGUGAGCAAUUCAGCUGGAAAAUCCAAACUGAAGUAUGAUGACAUUCGAGACUUGAUUUUGGCUGAAGAAGUGCGAAGGAAAGACUCGGGUGAAAGUUCAAGCUCAGGAUCAGCUCUCAACAUCAACACUCGAGGGAGGAGACACGAUAGAGGCUCAUCCAGAGGCAGAUCAAAAUCCAGAUACAGAAGUAAAAGCAAGUUUGGAUCCAGAAAGCAGGUUGAAUGUUGGAAUUGUGGCAAACCUGGUCAUUUCAGUAGGAAUUGCACAAAACCGAAGAAACCUGAAGUUGACUCUGCAAACGCUACCACAGAUGAGGUACAAGAUGCUUUAAUUCUUGCUGUGCAAAGUCAAAUUGAUGAGUGGAUUCUUGAUUCUGGUGCUUCAUUCCACUGUACGCCACACAAUGAAAUACUGCAAAAUUAUGUUGGAGGAGAUCAUGGUGUAGUCUAUCUGGCCGAUGGAACACCACUGAAGAUUGUGGGUAUAGGAGAUGUGCAAAUCAAGACAAUGAAUGGACCUUGUAGAAUGUAAGGCAUGUUCCUGAAUUAAAGAAGAAGUUGAUCUCUGUCGGACAACUUGAUGAUAGUGGUCAUUCAAUACUUUUUGCUGGAGGAAUGUGGAAAGUAUCAAAGGGAGCAAUGGUUUUAGCUCGUGGAAAGAAAACCGGCACCCUGUAUAUGACCACAAGAUUUGCAGACAUCAUUGCCUCAACUGAAGCAGAAAAUCAAGCACAUCUAUCGCAUUGUAGACUUGGCCAUAUGAGUCAAAAGGGGAUGAAGAUAUUUAGUCGAAGGGAAAGCUGCCAGAGUUAAAAAAUGUCGAUCUAGACAUUUGUGAAAGCUGUGUUCUUGGAAAACAGAAGAAGGUCAGUUUCUUGAAGGUUGGCAGGACCUUACGACCAAGAAAGCUAGAACUGGUACACACAGAUUUAUGGGGACCGUCUCCAGUAGCAUCUCUUGGAGGUUCUCGGUAUUAUGUGACUUUCAUUGAUGACUUCAGCAGGAAGGUAUGGGUUUACUUUCUGAAAAAUAAAUCUGAUGUGUUUGAAACAUUCAAGAAAUGGAAGGCUAUGGUUGAGACUGAAUCAGGUCUAAAGUUGAAAUGCUUGAGAUCUGAUAAUGGAGGAGAAUACAUUGAUGGAGGUUUCAAGGAGUAUUGUGCUGUCAAUGGUAUCAGAAUGGAAAAGACCGUUCCAGGCACACCGCAACAGAAUGGCGUUGCUGAACGGAUGAACAGGACCAUCAAUGAACGAGCUAGAAGCAUGAGGUUGCAUUCAGGGUUACCUCAAACAUUCUGGGCUGACGCAGUUCAUACCGCAGUUUACUUGAUCAACCGUGGACCAUCAGUUCCUUUGGAAUUCAGAUUGCCCGAGGAAGUAUGGAGAGGAAAAGAGGUACGACUCUCUCAUUUGAAGGUCUUUGGGUGUGUUUCCUAUGUUCACAUAGAUUCUGAUGCUCGCAACAAGUUAAGCCAAAUCCAAGAAAUGUUUCUUCAUUGGCUAUGGAGAUGAAGAAUUUGGAUUUCGGUUCUGGGAUGAUCAGAAUAGAAAGAUUAUCAGAAGCAGGAACGUGAUCUUCAAUGAGAAAGUUAUGUACAAAGACAGAUCAAGUGAGAAACAGAGAUGGCUGAUUCAGAUACAAGUCCACAAAGAUCUGAAUUCAUAAGAUUAGAAGGGCUUCCCGAUGUUACUAAGCAGAACAACAAUCAAGAGUCUUUACAAGAAGAUUCAAGCACAUCUGUGCCCACUUCCACACAAGAAGAUGCGGAGCAAUUGAACCAGCUGUUCGCAGGUCUUCGAGGACGAUAAAGCCCCCGCAACGGUUCACACUUUUACUGAAUUAUAUUUUGCUGACAGAUGGUGGUGAACCGUUACUUAUGAAGAAUCCUUACAAGAUGGAAACUCAAGCAAGUGGGAGUUAGCCAUGAAGGAUGAGAUGAGUUCGUUGCUGAAGAACAAGACUUGGGAGCUAACACAUUACCUGAAGGAAAGAAGGCCUUGCAAAAUAAGUGGGUUUACAGAGUGAAGACUGAGCAUGACGGAAGCAAACGGUUCAAGGCAAGACUUGUUGUCAAAGGGUUUCAACAAAGAAAGGCAUUGACUACUCUGAGAUUUUUUCUCCAGUUGUGAAGCUCACAACAAUCAGAGUUGUUCUGGGGAUAGUAGCUGCAGAAAAUUUACAUCUUGAACAGUUAGAUGUAAAAACAGCAUUCCUUCAUGGUGACUUGGAGGAAGAUAUUUACAUGCAACAGCCAGAGGGGUUUGCAAUGCAAGGAAAGGAGAAUCAAGUCUGCAAGCUACAGAAAAGCCUAUACGGUUUGAAGCAAGCUCCAAGACAGUGGUACAAGAAGUUUGACAACUUCAUGUGCAGUUCCGGGUAUACAAGAUGCCAAGCUGAUCAUUGUUGCUAUGUCAAACAUUUUGACAACUCCUACAUCAUUCUACUAUUAUAUGUAGAUGAUAUGUUGAUUGCAGGAUCCAGCAUUGAGGAGAUUGAUAAGCUGAAACAGCAGUUGUCGAAACAGUUUGAAAUGAAGGAUCUGGGAGCUGCUAAACAAAUACUUGGCAUGAGAAUCAUCAGAGAUAAAGACAAAGGCAUACUAAAGCUCUCACAAACAGAGUAUGUCAAGAAGGUUCUCAGCAGGUUUAGUAUGGAUAAUGCUAAACCAGUAAGUACACCACUGGGGAAUCAUUUCAAGCUCAGCAAAGAUCAGUCACCAAAACUGAGCUAGAAAGUGGAUACAUGGAUAAGAUUCCAUACGCCUCAGCUAUCGGCUCUUUGAUGUAUGCUAUGGUCUGUACCAGACCAGACAUUGCCCAUGCAGUGGGAGUUGUAAGCCGAUAUAUGAGCAAUCCUGGAAAGCAGCAUUGGGAGGGUGAAAUGGAUCAUGAGGUACUUAAAAGGUUCAUCGGAAACUUGUCUCAGUUUCACAGCUGGUGGUUUGAAACUUGAAGGUUUUGUAGAUGCUGAUCUAGCAGGAGAUGUUGAUAGCAGAAAGAGCACUACAGGAUAUGUUUAUACUCUAGGAGGUACUGCUGUUUCCUGGAGUUCUACCUUGCAAAAGAUCGUUGCUCUUUCAACAACAGAAGCUGAAUAUGUUGCAGUCUCAGAAUCUGCAAAAGAGAUAGUAUGGUUGCAGAGUUUCUUGAAAGAAUUGGGCAAGUUGAAUGGAAAAGGUACUUUGUAUAGCGACAGUCAGAGUGCAAUCUUCCUUGCCAAGAAUCCAGCAUUUCACUCCAGGACGAAGCAUAUUCAGAUCAAAUAUCACUUCAUCCGACAACUGCUGGACGACGAGCAACUAAUGCUAGAAAAGGUCUGUGGAAGCAAGAAUCCAGCAGACAUGUUAACCAAAGGAGUUACACUUGAGAAACUGAAGUUGUGCAAAACUUCAGUUGGCCUUCAAGGAUAAAAGAUAAUUUCAUUGUUUGUCUCCAAGUGGGAGAUUGUUAAUUAUUUGGAGACAAACCAUGUCCCACCAUGUGCAAGUGGGAAUCCCCCACUUUGCACAUGGUGGAGGACACAAAGUGGAGGCAACGGUGGACACAAAUGAUGAUGUCCUUCCCUCAUCCCUUGUAUAUGUAUAUGAGCUAUGUGUGUGCAUGUAUAACGGUGUGUGAAGAGAAGAAGAGAGAGUUGCAGUUGUGUGAAACACAGAGAGAAACACAUAGAGAGAGCUAGGGAGAGUUGAGUUGAGUUGAGAAGAAUUUUCUCCUCCUCCUUGUUUUGUUGUUUGUAUUGUUUGUAAGCUUGAUUAAUACAAACCAAUAGCUCCGUGGAGUAGGCAAGUUGCCGAACCACGUAAAUUGUGUGUGUUUGAGUUCUGGAAAUAUCCCAAGACUUACCGGACAGCGGCACGAAACAGAGGAUAUUAGUACUUUCAAUUGGGUAAGAGGGAAAAGAAACAAUUUCCUUGCUGCUUAAGUUCUUUUAUUAUAAGAUGUCUUACAUUAGUUUCUUUACAUCUUGUUCGAUUGACAAGGUUUUGCUAAUCGCAAAGCUUCCAUUUGUGUUGGCCGUGACAUAGAGAAAGAAGGAAAGGGGUAUUAUGAGGAAAUAAGGCCUGCUUCAAACAUGGAUCUAUAUCUUGCGACUUCCAUGAUUGUAGAAACCACCAUCCUGUGGAAGCCAUGAGAAUCUCAAGCAACACCUCAAACAAAAUAAUGUUGUUGGAAGUAGUACUUACAAGGAACCUUGGAAAGAUUUGUGUCAGUAGGAUGGAUAUCUUUCAAUUUGUUUCCAGUUGUAUUUGAGGCUGCAAGGGAUGUUAUUCCUUUGCUUGCUUGUCUUAUGAUUGAUUCGGCAUUUUGUGUUGAAUAAUGAAAUCUUAACUUUAAUCAUGUGAUGUUUUGUAUUAAAAAGAUUGGAAAAUAAAAUAAAGCCCUUGGAAGCUUAAAAAGAGGGUAUAAAUGAUUGAAGGGUAGUGUGGUAAUUGACCAAUAGUUGAUAAAUAUAAAUAAGAAAAAAAAAAAGAAUGAUAUGAUUUUGAGAGAAAGAGAGCUGCGGGAGAGAAAGGAAAAGAGGAAGAAGAAGAGAAGAAAAGAAAGGAGAGAAGGAAAGGAAGGAGAAGAGAAGUAGAUGAUAUAAGUAAAAAGGUAAGAUUUAUAGUUUUAAGUGUAUAAUAUGUUAAAUUUCGGUUUUGAUUAAUUUUGAGAGUUUUGAAGUUUGUAUUUUGAGUUAAUUGAUGAAUUAAUUUGAAGGUUAGGAGUUGAUUAUUGUGGGUAUUUGAUUAAUUAGUUGAUUUUGAGAGAUUGAAUUGAAGGAUAAUGAUUUUGAGUUAUGAUUUUGUUUAAAUGGGGAAAUUGUGUUAGAAAUCAGGGGAUAACAGUAGGUAAUCUGUUUAAAUUCUGGGUUUGAGGUUGAAGAUGACGAAAAUUCAAUUUGGUCCCUCAAUUUGCGGAAAUUGCAGUUUAGUCCCCGAACUUUGGAAAUUUUACAGAUUGGUCCCUGGGACAUAAAUUGAGGUUCUGAAAAGAACUGAGGAUGAUUUAAGGGCAAAAUUCCAGUAUAAUUAAUAUUUUCAGUUUGGUCCUCCAAUUUGACAAAUUACGAUUUGACCCCUAAUAUUUUGAUAAAAUCACAUUUUGGACCUUGGGGCAUAAUUCAAGAUUCUGGACAAAGAUAAGGACGAAUUAUGGAUAAAUUUCAGUAUGGAUAUAUAUUUACAAUUCGGUCCUCAAAUUUUGGUAAAAUUACGUUUUGGUCCCUGUUUUGGAAAAUUGUCGUUUUAGUCCCUAAACCUAGGAGAUUAAGCCCGGUUUUAUUUUAUGCAUUGGGAUCUUUUGUUUGAUUUUUUUUUGAGUAUAUUUCAUAUAUUUAUUGUACGUUCUCCUAACGAUCCUUAAUCGGAUUUUCUGGUCUUUUGCCUGACAUUCCUUUAGUUUAGUAUUUUCCGGGUGAGUGGAAUAAUAUUUAAUAUGCAUAUAAUAUAAAUAAAUAUGUAUGUUGAUUAUACAAUGAGUACAACUAGUAAAUUUAUUGAAUAUUUAUAUAUGUUGCUUUAUUUUCCGAGUACUCAUUUAUUCUUGAAUUUGCACUCGCAAUCUGAUAAAGUAAAUUCUAUUUGAUAUGAUAUACGUUUCUUUGAUGAUUCUGUGAAUAUCUAUUAUGCCUUGAUAUGGGACUUGUCAGUAACUCCAUGCUAAUGGAGAAUAGUUAGCAUGUGUGCACAUAGUAUUCUGUAUACCUAGCUGGUGAGAGAGGCAUCAGCCUAUGGCGAUUGAUCAUCCCACAGUGGUCACCGACGGGUGUCAUCUGGUCACCGACGGGUGUCAUCUGGUCACCUACGGGUGUCAUAUGAUCUCUGACAUGUAAUCCACUACGUUAUGAUAAUAUGUUACGUUAUGAUAUUAUGUUUAGUAAGUAUAUGUAUAUGUAUAUCACUACAAGAUUUUACAGUUUUACCGACGGAAAUAUUCCGUCGGUGUGUGACAGAACAUUCGUCGGUAAAGUAUUUACCGACUAUAUUACCGACGGAAUACACCCGUCGGAAUACCUUUUGUCGAUGAUUCCACAUUCCGUCGCCAUAUCGGUCGAUAAUACAAAAAAAACAUUUACCGAUGGUUUUACCGACGGACUGUGCGCGCCAAAAAAAAAAAAAGUUUCCCGCUUGGAAUAUACCGACGGAAAAUAUUCCGUCGGUGUUAUGUAAAUACCGACGGACUAUCUCCGUCGGCAAAAGUGUCGGUGAUAUUUCGUACCGACCGAAUAAAUCCGUUUGUAAAUUUGUCGGUAUUUUUAUACCGACGGAUUAUCUCUGUCGGUGAAUAUGUCGGUGAUGGGAUGGAAUACCGCAGACACUGUCCAAUGCCGACGGAUUGUUUCCGUCGGUAAAUCCCUGUGUAAUUUUUUUUUUAAUUAUUUAAAAAAAAUAAUAUAAAUUAAUAGUAAUACAAACCAAUUAUGCAAAUAAAAUUUAUAUUAAGCAACAAAAACUCAAAGUUAAAUAAUAUUCAUUACAAAAUGAAUGUGUUUAAAAAAAAACAAUUAAUAUAAAGGAGGAGGAGGAGGGUGGGGGUUAGGCGGCCAAAAAGGAUUAGGCGCACAUGUUCCACCUUGUGUCAUGUUCAUGACCAUUUGACGAAGCUCUUCAUAGGCCGCUCUUUGUUGUUCAGACUCUGCUCUGCGUUGUUCGUCCGCCAAUUUGUGUUGUUCGUUCGCCAAUCUUUGCUCUUCUUUGAGUUGUGUGUACGCCUCUGAUAGAUGGUCGCACCUUUGCUGCAAGGCCACAAACUCCUUAGAUUGGGAGCUCGAUACAGAUUGGGAGCUCCCACCGGUUGAAGCAGUACCGGUCGACCGCAACUUGGCGGCGGUAGUGUUGGAGAGCCCGUAAACCCGAUUUUUAUCGGGUCCACCUGACGAUCCAGCCUCCAUCCACAAAUCCGGAUCGAAUUCCGGAUGGUUCGAAGGAUCGUCCCCGUAUCUCUCCCUCAACCGAUUAUUAUAGGUCUCCUGAAAAAAAACAAAACAAAUAAUCAUAUUCAAUUCAAUAAACAUGAUAAUAACUUAUAAAAUAAAAUGGUUGAACAAACACACCACAAACUGUUGAGCACGGUUGUCAACGAACUGUUGCGUCCCCUUUUGGCGGUCAUGACUCCGCACGUACGUCUCCACAAACAGCUCCAUAGGGCUCGGCUCACGUCCAAGAGACGUAGCCUAUAUAUAAUGAAAAAAAUGUAUUAACAACAAAUUAAUUGAACGAUAUAUUUCAUUUAAAUUAAUCUUACCAUCCAUUUCGCAUGUGCAGCAAACGGAGCCGUCGGUGUGCGUUGUAACCGAGCCAUGAAUUUGCCGAUUCCGGUUGUCGGCACCGGACUGUGAGCGUCGAGUGAACCGCUCAGACGUCACGUGCUGAAGAUAGUGCGGCCAUAUAUCUUCCGGGAUGUAUAUUGGUUUGAAAUCCCUCCAAACCGCAACAUCGUUCCAACCUUGUAACCCCUUAUCCCUCGCUGUUUUUUUUGCUUUUUUCUGGGCGUCAUACCAAAAAUCACGCAACCUAAUUCACGCACGAAAAAAUUACAUUUCGAAACAUAAAUAAUUAUGUAAAAAAAAGUCGUAUUGUUUUCGAUGUUACCUAAUUGCCGCGUGAUUUUCCCACACCCUCCUCACAACAGUGUCAUGUUCAUCAUCCCAGCAGAAUCGAUGUUGUAUAUAAAAAAAUAAUUUUUUAAAAUGUUAAUAAUUUAUUUACAAUUAUAACUUGAAUUUAUUAGAAAUAAGCUGAAAAUUAUAUAUUAACACGAACCUCAAAUCUACGAAACCAUGUAUUGAUUUGAGGCAUCCAUUCAGGAUGUCUGGAUAUAUGACUCCAUUGAAACAAUGGAAUCUCCAUCGACGCUUUAAACGCCGAUGAUAUUAAUCGGGCGACCUCAAUGUUUGUGAACCUGAAAAGAAAUGAAAUUAAUUUGUGAUUACUUCAUAAAUUAUGUUUUAAAUUUGUUUUUUUUUAUAUAAAAAAAACUAAAACCUUAACAAACUUACAUUGAAAGAUCGUCCUUCCACUGUGCCUCGAACUGGUGGGUAAAUUGAUUCCGCUUCGAAGGCAUGCCGCGUCUGCGAUGUGAAACAUCGCUGGAAGAGGCAGCAUCGGUUGACGGCCCAGGUGGUGUAGGUGCCUCUUCUUGAGAGGCACCUAAGGAAACAUCAUCAUCGCUGCUAGACGAACUUGAUUCGACUGGACGACCAGCUCUGGUUUUCAUUUUGCGCAUCUAAACAAUUUUAUAUUAAUAAUUGUAUAAUAAAAUUCAAAAGUUAAAAAAAAAUCGGCAGCACCUCCCCUAUACUGGAUACUACCCAAAUCCACAAACCUGCAAAUAUUAACAAUAGCCACAACCAAUCGAACCAAUCUAUAUGACAAAAAAUAUAUUCAAUAAUUAUAUUCAAAACAAUAAAAAAUAUGACAAAAAAUAAAUUCAAUAAAUUCAACAAAUUAUAAUUCAACAAAUUAAUCAUUUUAAUUCAACAUUAACAAUUAUAAUUCAACAAAUUAAUCAAUAAUUAUAUUCAAAACAAUAAAAAAUAUGACAAAAAAUAAAUUCAAUAAAUUCAACAAAUUAUAAUUCAACAAAUUAAUCAUUACAAUUCAACAUUAACAAUUAUAAUUCAACAAAUUAAUCAUUAUAAUUAUGACAACAAAACAAUAAAAAAUAUUCAAAAAAAAAAACCUACAUCAAUAAAAGGAACGAAAUAAACAUACCUUAAUAAUGUGACAAAUUCAAUCACCGAUGGAAUUAAUAUCCGUCGGUAAAAGGUAAAAAUUCCGUCGGUAACAGGUCAAAAAUCCGUCGGUAUUUUUUGAAUUUCGCCCCGAAUUUUUAAAAGCCCUCCAUAUUUUUCACAGUCCGUCGGUGAUUCCGUCGGUAAUCUGACAAGUUCAGAGGCGCAUUAAUUCACACACUUUGGAAAUCGCGCGGUCCGUCGGUAUUUCUGUCGGUAAUAUGUGUGACCGACAAAUUACCGACGGACCUAUUCUGUCGGUGAACCCGUCGGUGAUUGUGGCAUUUUGUUCUAAAUAUUUUCGAGCUUACUGUGAGAUGCCGACGGAAUGGUUGUCCGUCGGUAAUGUCGUCGGUGAGUGUGGCAUUUUAUUGUAAAUAUUUUAGAACUCUCUGUGAGAUACCGACGGAUGGUUGUCCGUCGGUAUUGACGUCGGUGAUUGUGGCAUUUUGUUGUAAAUAUUUUUGAACUCUCUGUGAUAUACCGACGGAUGGUUGUCCGUCGGUAUGGACGUCGGUGAUUGUGGCAUUUUGCAGGAAAGGUUGUCUUUGUAUUGCAUGUUUACCUUCCUGCAAUAACUUAACUGAUAAACUGUCUAUCACAUAAAACAAUAACCACAUUGCUUAAACAAUAAAUAUUUUGUUUUACAAAAUACAUCAUCAAUAAUCUAAAUUACAUGAGACAAAUGUUUUUACAUAGGGCUUCAUUUUCAUAAUUAGUCGGAAUUUUCUUCUUCUUCCUCGUCAAUUGAAUUGUCAUCAUCUUCAUCGCAAUCUUCAAUAUGGAUAUCAUCUUCUUCAUCGACAUUUGCUUGUUCGCUAGAGCUGAGAACAACAUUCAACUCCUCUCCGUCAAUAUCAACAAGACUAUCAUCGAGAACUCGAAAAUUUGAAUUUUCUUCCAAUUCAAUCGAAGGAGCAACUCGAUAUGGUUCAACCAACUCACGAACUUGAAAGACUUCAUCUCGCACACUUGUGUCUUCGUUCUCAUCCUGAACAACCUCGACACGACCCCGUGGUUUCGUUUUUAAAACGGACAACCAAUCAACUCUUGAACGAUCCUUUCUAAAUGAAGGGGUGUAUGUGUAAUAAAUUUGUUGACAUUGCUUUGCGAAAACAAAGACAUCAUUUAUGUUGCGGAGUCUAGCUUUUGAGUUGAUUUCGACCAGACCAUGGUGCAGAUCAACUUUGAUUCCUCAGUUCGUCGUGUCAUACCAAUAGCAUUUGAAUAAAAACACUUUAUUCUGCUCGCUAUGAUAUUGCAGUUCGACGACCUCUUCUAAUCUACCAUAGUAGUCAACUUCUAACUGGCUACUUGUGGAUCCCUUAACACAAACACCGCAGUUGUAUGUCUUUCUUCCUUGCCCGUAUUCUUCAGUAUGGAAAACAUAUCCAUUGACAAAAUACCCGUUGUAGCACUUAACUUUUCUUUCAGGGCCGAGGCUUAGUGAAGACAAUGACUUGGGCGCACUCCUUCCCAUUUGAUAAACCUUGUAAAUAUAUGUAAUUAAAUGUACAUCAAUACACGGUAAAUGAACGAGAAUCUCGUAAUGACAUGCAUACGUUAGAAUGAGUUUGUGAUAGUGCUUACAUGUGUUCUGAACCAUGUGGCAAAUUGUUCAUCUUGUAAUUGAAAGAUCUGGGAUUCGGUCAGCUGCGAGUUAUUGGAGAGCAAAUAUUGUCGAUGUUGCCUGCAAGUGAUAAUGAGUGUAUGAUAUUACAAUAUAUAAUUAACAGUAUAUUACUGACAAAGUUUAAUUAGUAUUACACAUAUAUAGACUUACUGAAUAAAUGGUCUCAGCUCAUCACAGUUAAAUAGAACAUAGUUGUGUGCUUGUUUGAAUUCUAUUUCCGACAAAUAUCUUCCUCUUACGGCAUUUUUAGGUGUGGGUCGUCCAGUAUUGGAGAAUAUUGACAAGUUCCCACUGGAAGGCACUUCACCGCCAUCGUCAUGCCGUGGAACGCGAUUGAUUCUUGUUCUCAGAUGAGGUUCGAAAUAGUACGAGAUAAAUGUUGAUAUCUCUUCAACAAUAUAGGCCUCAGAUAUCGAAGCCUCAACAUGCGCCUUGUUCUUAACCUUUUUUUUUAGAUUAAACAAGUACCUGCAUUGAAGUACAAUUCAAGUAUUUUCAAAUAAGAAAAACAUAGAAAAUACUUUAAGAUAUGAAUUCCAUUGCAACUGUAAUAUCUCACCGUUCGAAUGGGUACAUCCAUCUAUACUGGACCGGUCCUCCAGCUUUUGCCUCGAACGGUAGAUGUAUAGGGAGAUGCUCCAUUGAGUCAAAAAAUGAAGGAGGGAAUAUCAUCUCAAGUUUGCAUAGUGUCUCGAUGAUAUUCGUUUGAAGCAUCUCAAUGUGCUCAACAUUCAUCUUGCUGGAGCAUAUAUCUCUGAAGAAAUGACUGAUCUCCGUUAGUGCAUCCCAUAUUCCCUUUGGCAACAAAUCACGAAAAGCUAAUGGGAUGAGUGUUUGCAUAAACACGUGGCAGUCAUGGCUCUUCAUUCCAUACAAUCUGCAGUCCUCUAUGUUAACAAGCCUUGAUAUGUUCGAUGCAUGUCCAUCCGGGAAACGCAGACUCUUAAGCCAUUUGUAGACUAGCAGUUGUGCGUUUUUCUCUAACACGAAGCUUGCCCUUGGUUUUGCAACCCGUGACUCGUCAUAAACCAACUCCAUAUUUUUACGGUUACAGUAUAAAGCUAUAUCCAAUCUAGCCUUCAUGUUGUCCUUUGUCUUCCCCUUCACAUCCAUGACGGUGUUGAAAAUAUUCUCAAACACGUUCUUUUCGAUGUGCAUGACGUCAAGGUUAUGGCGGAGAAGAUUAGUCUUCCAAUACGGAAGCUCCCAAAAGAUACUUCGCUUUACCCAAUUAUGGGUCAAACCAAAACCAGGAAACUUUUGCUUACCUGAUUGAAGGCCAAACACAAUGUCACCGUACUCUGAUACAACAUGAUGCAAUUCUUCACCAGAAAGACGCGGGGAUGCAACAUCUUUUUCAACUCUACCAACAAAGAAAUCUUUUCUGUUCUUUCUGAACCUGUGAUUAAGUGGCAAGAAGCGACGGUGACAGUCAAAAAAAGAAGCUUUACCUCCGUUUGCUAGCGUGAAUGCCUUGUUGUUUUCCAUGCAGUAUGGACAUGCGAGUUUCCCAUGCGUGCUCCAACCAGAAAGCAUUCCAUAAGCUGGAAAAUCACUGAUAGUCCACAUCAAAGCCGCCCUCAUAAGGAAAUUUUGUUUCCUCGAUAUAUCAUAAGUCAGAGAUCCGGAGGACCACAACUGCGCCAGCUCAUCUAUCAACGGUCGAAGACAAACAUCUAUAUUCCGCCCCGGGCUGCUUGGACCGGGUAUGACAGUAGAUAGAAACAUGAACUCCGGCCUCAUACACAUUCCCGGUGGCAAGUUAUAAACUGUGAGAAUGACCGGCCAACAAGAAUAGGGAGCAGCAAAUGACCCAAAUGGGUUGAACCCGUCUGUACACAACCCAAGUCGAACAUUCCUUGAUUCAGCAGAAAAGUCAGGAUGAACACUGUUAAAGCGUUUCCACGCUUCGCCGUCAGAAGGAUGCACCAUCACACCAUCAACGACAUCGUGUGUUUGGUGCCAUGUCAUGUGCUCAGCAGUCCUUGGUGACAUAAAUAACCUCUGCAGUCUAGGUGUGAUCGGAAAUAUCUAAGUUUUUUAUGCCACUAGAGUCUUCCCCCUGCCAGUUCUGGGUUUGUAACGGGAAUGCCCGCAUGUCAUGCACUCGGUCAUCUCAGCAUUUUCAAGGUAGUAUAACAUGCAGAAGUUAGGGCACAUGUCAAUUUUCUGGUAUCCUAAACCGAGGGGUUUCAUCAUGGACUUCGCAGCAUAGAAGUUCUCUUUGAGCCUGUUCCCUUCUGGUAAAAUGCUUCUUGCCCAAUCAAUAAUUUUGUCAUACCCGGCCUCACUCAACCCGUGAUCUGACUUGAUGGUGAACACCUGUGCCACGCCGAUAAUUUACUGUGGUUUGUGCAGCCAUCCCAUAAUGGUUCGUCAGAAUCUUUCAACAAAUCAAAAAACCUAGCUGCCUCUGCAUUAGGUUCUUCUUCUACGAUUGGACAUUGAUUGACAUUAUCUUGAUUCAUUCUCAUUGCAUCCAUAACCAUGUUUCUGUAAGGAUUAGUGUUGUCAUUUGCCGCUUCAUGCACGUUGCUAGCACUAGAAGUUGACCCAACCACCGUUUCUCCCAUUCUCCUAUUACUAACAAAUACCUCUCCAUGUGCAUACCAACACUCGUAAUCCUCCACAAACUCUUUAUGUAGAAGAUGCAUCAUUACAACAUCUAGAUGCAGAUACUUUUUAUUUUGACACUUCCUGCAUGGACACCUAAUACCGCCUCCAGUAAAAUUUCUGGGAAUAGAUGUUGCGAAAUUAAUAAAACCCUGAACCCCGUUACAAUAAUCCAUCAUCUGCAAUCCUUGGGGUGAAUCUAGAUACAUCCAUGAACGAUCAUCCAUGACUUCUAUCGAACCUCUAUAAAAAGGACCCAUUAAUUAAGCAAGCUCUUAAUUAUUUCAAAACAUAACAUGUAAUUCGGUAAUUCUACAAAUUAAGUUUUAACAAUUUUCAAACAAAUACAAUCUUACAAAAUCUAAAACAAACCAUAACAAGUAUAAAAUUAUACAUUCAUAUACUACAAGUUUGUUUGAGAAAUAACAAUAAAACAUGUACAUCUACUAAAAAAUAAUAAUACAUAUACUAAAAAAAAAAUUUGACAUUUAAAUGUUAAAAUUUUAAAAGAUAGAAUUACUUACAAAAAAUGAUAAAAUCCGUCGGUAAAUCAGAACACGGAUGCUGUGACCACAAAACAAAUACAACUUGUUGUGCUGAGAUGAGGAAGAUUUUUGUUUUGGGGCGAGGGGGGUGGUUAUUUUGCAGAUGGGGAGGGUUAGGAUUAGGAAGAAGAAGGAGAAAUGGGGGAGGAGAGUGUCGGCAGAGUGGCCAUAUAUUCACUUUUGCUGACGGACUUACCGACGGUUUGGAUUCCGUCGGUGAAUCCGUCGGCAAAACCGUCGGUAAUUCUGACGGGCAAUCGACACGUCACCGCACGGACCUGCUAUUCAAAUCCCUCGGUGAUUCCGUCGGUAUUUUUAACGGUGCACCGGUCACGUCACCGGUACGGAUCUGGCAUUUCAAAUCCGUCGGUGAUUCCGUCGGUAUUUUUUGACGGUGAACAGGUCCCAUCACGCGUACGGGCCCCAGUUUUAAUUCCGUCGGUGAUUCCGAAAAUCACCCGCCAAAACCUCGCGCCACUGCCCGCCCUUUUUUCAUUAAUUCUGAAUUUUCGGUCGGUAAUUACCGACGGAUAGUCCGUCGUAAUUACCGACCGAAUUACCGACGAAAUAUUCCGUCGGUGAGUUCGACCGAAAAAUACCGACAGAAAAAAUUCUGUCGGUGAGUCCGUUGGUAUUUAGCGAAUUUCUGGUAGUGUAUGUAAAUCAAGAUAAAUCAUCUUGCAAAUAAUAUUAUUAAUAUCUGAAAUGUAUAUUAAAUGUUAUUCCCUCACUGAGUUGGUUGAACUCACCUCUCAUUUUUAAUAUUAUUUCAGGUUCUUAGUUUCUGGGACUUUGUUGAGUGUUUCCGCUUCUUCAGUUCUGGUCGGUAUGCCUUGCUUGUUCGCGAGGCUUUCCUUUUAGUUUUGAUUUGAUAUCUUAGACGCUCCACUGUUACCUUGGUUUAAUUAAAUUUGGAUUUUGACAAUGUAAUGAGUAUUAUGAAUUAUUAUUUUUGUUUUAAUAACUAUCUUUCGGUUUCAUCAGUAUUUGAAUAAUAUAAUAUUUCUGAAUAUUAUGAGCCGCUGCGUAUUUUUGAACAAAUUAUUCUUUUGAUAUGUCCGUUCUGAGGCUUAGCCUAGGUGAGGUGUCCUUUCGACACCACUCCUACGUUGCCGGUCACGAAUCCGGGAUUCGGGUCGUGACAAAUCACCUUAUGGAUACCCAGAUUUCCAGUGCCUGGAAAUGGUUUAAAAAGAUUUUGUUUUGAGGUAAUGCAAAUCACAUCUCUAGUUGUUACUGGAUUUAAUAAAGUUACUUUAUACAGUUGAAAUUACUCGCUGCUUUCCUCUUGAAUCAUUAAUCCUAAAUGAUUAAUCAUGGAUAGUUUAAUAUAUCAGUGAAACUAGAUCAUUGACCGAGCUCGUACAGGCUAUACUAAAAAUUUUAUAAACAAAAAAAUAUGUAAGGAUUGAUAAUGUAUUUUUUUGUCAAACCGAAAUGUAAAACCAAAGGGGAAAAAAAUAAAAAAAAUUUAUUCAUUUUUCUUCCUAUUACGUUGAGCACCCUUAAAGUAAUCUGCAAUUGUCAAAGAACCUGAAUACAUAAUAUGAUUUCAGAACUCGUAUCUGUGUCCCAUGAACCCAUGGUUAUAAAUUUCAACGUUAGCAAAAAUUAUAUUCAAUUAUUAUUUUUUAAAUAUAUAAGUUUGAUAGUGAUUUUAUAUUUUAUUCUACACUAGCACGCGGGUUUGGCAAGCGCCGGAAAAAUCAAGGUGGAAUGUUAAGCGUGCUCCUGUAAUUCGGUAAUAAUUUUAGUUAAGCUCUCUAAUUAUUUACUUGUAAUUACAGUAAUUUUGUUUUCCUAAUUACCUGCUCUCUUCUAGUGCUUCUGAUUGAAAUUGAGUUAGGAGUUGAAGACCCUUAAGUGCAUUGGAUUGCCCAUCUAGAAGUUGUUUCUGUUUAUCCAAAGACUUCCCAGCCAUGUUCUCAAUGUCAUCAGCUGUGUUUUGUAAAGUUUCCAUCUUUGAAGACAUUGUGUCUCCAACUCUGCCAAUCUGCUUCUCUAUUUCCACAGCUUCGUUUCUCACAUUGUCUACUUCUUGGCCCAGAUUGGUGUAAGCAUCAUGAAGCAUCGACAUCCCUUCCUUCAAAUUGUCAUUCAUUUUUGCUUGUCCCUCUUGCAGCUCUGAUUGAGAAUGUGCAAUUUCCUUGGAAUGCUUAUAAACAGCUUCAGAGUGCUUAGAUAAAACAUCCAUGUGAUCCUUUGCAUCUUUCGUUGUUUGAGCUACAUUUUCAACCUGAAUAUCAAUAGAACUCAAUGAAUCCUGAAUUUGAUUCGAUCUCUGCAACAGGACAUGUGUUUUUCCUCCAAUAAUUUCUAACUGUUCUUCCGUGUAUUCUGCUGAAUUUUUAAGAUCAUUCACCAGUCUCUCCAUUUUAUGGUUGAAGGCAUGGGCCCUGUAGGCAAUAGCACAUAAAAAAAUCCUUGUUAGUUUCUGUCACAUCGUAUAAAACAAGAGAAGAACGGUCAGAACAGUGAAAGAAACUAUACUUAACUGUCACUGAUAGCAGAUAGAAUUGGUUUCCAGUGAGAAUUCAAGAUAAACCUUGUGCUCAUUGUCAUUCAACCUUUUGAGACAAUUAACCAUGGCAGAUUUUGUGUCACAAUAAGGGAAAGCUGGCCGUCCAGAGUCCUUUUGAAAGCAAUCACUAAGGUGCCAAGCAAAUCUCCACCGCUUCUCCUCGACGGCGAGAAUCUGCGAGCAGCCGGCAAAGAGAUUCUGGUAAGCAUUCUGCCAACAAGAAUUCGUGCCAACCAUUUUACUUUCGGCUUUUUCGACCAGUUUCAUCCCCUUCCCAUCACUAAGACCAUUCAUAGAAAAUUCCACCACAGAACCACGGGGCAAACCGUUUGUCUGUGAAUUAUCAUGGAGAGAGUCUCUGUUGAAGAAGAGAACCAACCCCAUGAUUGACAUCUUAAUGUAAGUGAGAUUAAAAUUACGAGAAACAAAAUCUGACUAUAAGAACCCAUUAAUUAUAUCUUUUCUUCCUGAUUUUGUUACUCUACUUUCUGUAUCUUCCACCAGAAGACUGAAACCUGCAGUACACAGUAUAACAAAUUAGCAGAUGCUUCCAAUGCUAAAGGCAUAUACACAAGUCUUGUAUUUAUGUAUAAACAAAGAGGUGGAGAAACUUGGAGUGCAAGAAAAGGAAAAGGCACGAUUUUAGCAUGAAAAGGACUGUUUGAAAGUGAAAUUAAAAGUGUAGAAAAUAGAAAAGAGACAGAGACUUCCAAAGAUUAAAAAGAAAAGAAAAGAAAAGUAGAAAUGGUCAAAUAGUCUCUUAAAACAUUCUACGAUAUUCCAAUAAUCAAAGAUGAGAUAACUUCAAGAAUUCUAAGGAAAUCAAAACAGGACAUAGUGUCAUAUCUUCCCAUUAAAUUAGCAGCAUAUCAACUAUUUUAAGAAAAUUAAGUCAAAAUUAAGAAAAUUCUUUAAAAUCAUAACCGUUUCAAUUAACCGUUUCUUUGUUUUCUCUCUUUUUUCUAAUUUCCUUUUACAAUUAAUUACUUAUAUGAUGGAUUAACAAAUGGAAAGAAAGAAACCAUAAGUAGCAAAAAGGGAUCCCCUCUUUAUCUUCUAUCACUUGAUUUCUUUUCUUAACUUCUUCUCCAGCUACCCCUCCCUCCUUUUCUCAUAUACAAAGCUUCUGCUACCUUUUUUAUCCUUUAAAAAACCAAAAAGCGGGCCAUGUUCAUGUUUAAAGUUUUGAUACGAUUAUCCUUGGAGCCUUAACCUGAAUUAUACGUAAAAAACGAAGAAAUUAAAGAAAGUCCUUGAAUGAGAGAGAGAGAGAGAGAGAUGGUGAGAGCAUACAUACUUGUUUGUGAAUGCUCACCGGGUGGGGGUGGGGGUGGGGGUGGUAUUAAGAGGAUAUAUAUAUAUAUAUAAAGUGAAGUGAAGAGACAUGAUGCUUUGAUUAAUUUGGAAAAUUAAUGAUGUUUCGAAAAGUCACUUUCCAUGACCGACAUUAAUCUUUCCUUUCCAUGUUACACCAGGUUUUAUAUUUUUUCCUUUUACGUUUAAUUCGUUUUCAAAAUUAACCCAAGAUUUCAGAACGUUGCAAUAUUAAACCUCAACGUCACAAAUGAUCUACUGUAAUUUAAUUUUAAGGCCUGAUUAAAUACCCAAGUUAUUAAAACACACUUGUUCCCAGCAGAACACAAUGUUUAAGGGGGAGAGAGAUCAUCUUGCAUGCAUAAAAUCGAAGACGUGUACUGUAACAGAUAUAUUGUUGUGUUGCAAACAGAUUUCAAGGUUCUAUAUAAAUCCAAGAACUUUUUAUGCACCAACUGAUGAUAUAAUUAUAAGUUAGAGUAAUUAUUGAAACCCUCCCAUAAUUAUUGGAUUUUGUUCCUUAACUUCCACCUAACGGAUUCAUCAUUCUGCUACUUCCAAAUCCAUUCAAGAAAUCUCAAAAGUCCAUUUGAAAUGAACAAAGGAUGCAUUAACCGGUUGAGAUGAAAAUCUCUCAACUAGAAUGAAAAGAUCCUUAUACCUCCAAGGUCUGAUAUGCGGUUUAUUCCUACCACCUGUAUUACCAGAAUGGAAUGCGCUAGUUCUAAGAUGCAGAGUCUGUGUUCGAACAAUGAUUUAUGGAAGCACAGGUACGUGGAGGAGCUUGGAAAUGCGUCCGAAACACAAAGUUUUGGCAACUGGAAAACUAGAUCAAUUCUCUAGAUAUCGAUGUUUUCUGCUAGAUCUUAUGGCAGCAUGAAGUCCACUAAUUUUGUCUGUGAUUGUAACUAUUUGGAUUGUUAAUUUUUUUAAAAAAAGUUUAUGUUCAUAAAUCGCCGGUCUUGCAAAUUGAUAAACCUUUGUUCGAAUGAUAUCGUAGAUUAAAAGGCUUAAAGGAAAUCUUUGUUUGUGUUGCAUAUAUUAAGAGAGUUCUUGAUGCCGGACAAAGAGAGAUUUGAAGAGAAGGGGAGAAGGGAGAGAAAGAACGAAGAGGAGAAGAAGCUGGGAAGAAGAGGAGGAGAGGAGAGAAGGGAAGGGAAGAGGAGAAUUGAACACUACAUUUUUUCUUUAAUUCAUCUAUAAACUGAUAAAUCAAAUAAAGCCCAAUCAAAUAGGUUUAAAGCCGAAACAGAGGGGUGGAACGGGAGUGUCUAAUGAAAGAAAACUCUAUAAGGUCGCGUGGAAUACUCUUUCAAAUCCAAAACAGAUGGAUGGAACUGGUUUGGGUUCUCGCAGAAGGUUUCGGUCUUGGGGUGAUUGCUUUUCCAAAUUUGCACCAAUCAGUUCUGCAUCAGCUAGCAAUGAUUUCGAAAAUGGGAGCUUGACAAGCUUCAGAGUGGACCAGGGCUUUAUCCAUGAGAGAAAGAGGAUGAAACUCGUCCUCAAUCAAUGCUUUCAGCACCAUAUUUACACCAAGAUAGGGUGGUUAUACUGUGAAAUCUUGUAGCGCAGUUGUGGCUGGGUUUUUGCUUCCAUGUCAGACCAUGAACAUCCCCAAUGUAUGGAAACCUACCGCUCUCCCAAAGGUAGAAUUCUUCACUUGGCUGGCUGUUCUUGAUAGACUGAACACAAAGGUAGAAAAUGUAUGUUGCUGCUGUCAAACUGAGGAAGAAUCACUCCACCAUCUACUACAACACUGCCAGCAAGUUUGGAGGAUUUGGAAUCAUGCAUGUGUUCAGUUGGCGAGGAUCAACUUAUACCCUUCCUAAAUCAGCAAGUGGUUUGUUUCAGCAAUGAAGGUUCUUUGCAAGAGGUGGAAAACAAGGUAUUUCCCACAUGAUUUUCUCUCUUUCUUCAUUUUGAUAUUUCAAUUAUUAAAAUAAAGUAAUAAUAUUACUCACACAAUACCAUAAAAUUCAUCGGAAUUUAAAAUUUUUAAUUUAGAAAUUUUGGCCAUGCAUGGUCUACAACCGUGAAAGAGGUCCCAGAAAAACACGAGUCCAAAGCUACUUGGACUUCUCCAUAAAUCAAGUGGAAAAUUGAUAGAUCAGCAGGAAAACUAACGUAGCAUUUCGUUAAAAAUAAACUCUAUUUUCGGCUAUUCCUCAAACAGUGUUUUAAGAUUGUAAGGCUUCACGAUGUCAAGACUUCCACUCCACAUUAGCUUCGCAAAUUGAUUGUUGGCACUCUCAGUUGGAUGAGCCGGAUCAAAGAAGAAAUAUUCACUUGCAUUGUCGCAUAAUUGAUAUCCUUUCUGACCACAAGUAGGGAAGCUUCUGUAAGGACCACUGCCACAACAUGCCUCUUGAACCUCCUUGAAACCUUCAUAUAUAGAGAAAUCACAUUUAAAUUCAUAACAAGGACAGGAAAUCUAUAUAGGGACCUUGAUUUUAAUUAUUUAAUACUUAUAGACAGGCAUUACCAUAUUUUUAUUAAUUCUCUCCCUUCCUGCAACAUAGGCAUCAAAAAUUGAGUAUCUAAAUCCUUCUAGUUGUCCCUCAAGCUCUUUGAGUGCUUUAGGGAGUGCUCUGUUGUGUAGUUUUGCAAACAUUGUAGCUUCAUCCAAGCAACCUGACACCCCUGUUCUUUCCUGUUUAGCUGCUCUCAAGGAUGGUAGACAACCCAAAGCAAUCAACGUUGACAAUCCAAAUUUCCUUCCUCCUAUCUUGUAUAUUUCCUGGAACAGUACAAUUACGCAAUCAUAAUCCAAGAUCAACUUGGAAAGAAGAGAAAGAAUGGUUCUUUAGCAUGCUAAAUUACUUGGAUCACUGUUGUUAUAUUGCCAAUAACCAUCCCAACAUACUCUUCUCUUGAAUAUAAUUGAAGCAAACUGUGCGUUGGUGUUAGAGCUGCAAAGUAGUCAUUGCCUCCAAUGCUGAACAUGUAAACUGCUGUGGACAGCAAGUUUUUAGCUUCUGCUUCACCUAGUUGAAGCCUUAACUGCCUUUUCAUAUGCUUGAAAUAGCUUAGUUGAGUGCUAAGGUUUAUCACCUUCAAAGAAAAGGGGAAAAAAUGAAAAACCGAAAAAAAAAAAAAACAGUUAUGGAACAUAUCUAAGACAGUAAACUUUGUGUUCUUGACAUACCCAUCCAUGAUGAGUUUCAACAAGAGCACCAGCUCCAGAUGAUGCAAAGUUCACUCCAUUUAUAAAUCGAUGAUUACUGGAUUGUAGAUGUUGUUGUAUUUCAGAGCUUAUCACCUUGAAAACAAUCAUUGAAUCUCAUUAUUCCUUUAGAAGAUUUAAGAGAGAUCUCGAGUUUAAUUAAUUUAUAAAAAGACGAAAAGUGGUGGGGAUCAAUAACAUUGAAGACCCCACCAAGAAAAAACAACAUCAUGAUGACAGACAUACCAUUCCUUGGAGAUUUUCAGCGAGAACAAGAUCCCCUUUUGACUCAAAGUUUUCUCCAUCCAUAAAUUGAUGGUUACCAGGUUGUAGAUAUGGCGGAAUUAAAGGUAAAUUUGCAUAUUGAGCUGUCACAAAACAUUUCAUAAAAAUAAGAAAAGAAAGAACAAAAAAGAAUGAAUUAAAGUGCUCUUAACUGUAAUGAUCUUACCAAUAAAAUCUGGAAUUAAUCGACCAUCACAAGGCCUUCCUGUGGGAUGCUUGAAGAAGGUUCCAUACCAUACAGAAAUCUGAAAAGAUAGGAGCAUCUUCGAUGUACUUGUUGUUUCCAGCAUCAUAUAAUGAAUCUCCAAAGAUAAAUAAGGCAACAUGCUUAGAACCAUGGCAGCUUCUUGCAACCAGAAGGCUUGCACAAAACACCAAGAAACAAUUCUUAAUAUUGGACCUUGAAAUACUGUUAUAUAAUUGUAUAAGGAUUGAUAAUAUAUUUUUUAGUUAGAAAGAAAAAUUUAUUUGUAAAUUUAAAAUUUGAAGUAUAUAUUUAAUAAAAUAAAUUAAAAAUUAUAAGUGCUAAUAAAUAUAUAAAAAAUAAGUUGUCAAGGUGAAAACAAAUACAAAUUAAAAUAUUCGAUUUUACAUUAUAAAGAACCCUUCAAUUAUUUAUAUUUAAUUAUAUAACAGUAUUUUAAUUAUAAAAAUAAUAAUUUAAAUUUUGUUUAAACAAAAUAAUUUUCUAUUAUAUUUCCUUCUUUUAUUAAUACUUUUAAUUUCAGUAAAAAAAAUUAACUUUUUGUUGCUUGUCUUUCAUUUAAUAAAAAUUAAAAGAAAUUAGAAUACAUAUCCAUAGGAUUUUGGAUGAUUUAAAAUAAAAAAAAAAUAUCUCUCUAAUUAGAAUCUGUUUGCCUAGCUGACACGCUCAUUUAAAAAAAAAAAUCUUUAUCAGAAUAUUUAAUUUUUAGAUAUUAUUUUAUCAUUAUCUUAAAACAAGUUUGAAUGAUUAUAAAACACAUUUUGAUAACCUAGAAAAUAAUAAUUUAAUAAACAUCCUUAAAACUUAAAAAAAUAAUAAUUUAUUAGCCCAAAAAAACCUAAAACAAUUGUCCAAAAUAAAAAAAGUAAAAAUCAUGAAAAAAAGUUUUCUUUAUCUUUUGAGUAGUUUUUAAUAUCUUGAGCUCUACCUCACUUGUCUCUGAUGAUUGAUUAUUAUAAAAAAUUUCUAUAGCUCCCAAUUUCCAAGAUUAUAGUAUGAGGCGACAAGGCAAGUGGCUGUGUUUUUUCAAAAAUACAAUCAAAGGCAGUAAGACACGAUUAUGCUGAAAAAAUUCUUAUGGUAAGCUUUGGUUGGUUUAGAAAAAUAUGCUUGAUUCAUCACGUUUCUCCACCAAUAAAAGUGUUGGCAUGAAAACAAGUAGAAUUAAUGAGAUUGUGUAUAGAAAAAUAUAUAAAAUAUUUGCACAAUAAAAAAAAGAAUAGAAGAAAAAAUAUAUAAAAUAUACAUAAAAAUAAAAAAUAUAUCUAAAAAGAACCUAAGUAUUUUUUUGGCUGGGCUCGAAAUCAUACCCAACUGUCUAGAUCCGAUAGUUUUUAUUUUAGCUGAUAUGAUCAUUAUGAUUGUAAGAAAUUGUUCAAUAAGAGUUAUUAUCUUAUAUAAGAUUUAAAAAUUCAAAAUCUUUAUUUUAUAACUUCUAAGUUUUGAGUACAUUAUUAUUAUUAUUAUUAUUAAUAUAUGAAAUGAAUGACUAUUAAAGUUAUUAAUUAGAUGUUAGACUGGUGGCGGAAAUCGUAAUGGCGGCUAAUAUUUCAAGUCGGCUUGAAUAUUACUGCUCGACGGCUUAGCUAGGUAGAUAGCUCAAGCUCAACUCAAGCGGGUGAAAUAUGAUUGUUACAGAUUGUAACAGCUAAAUCCAGCUAGAGAGGAGUAGGAAUCCAGGAAAAAAACAAUCAACGGCUAGGAUUGGGUUGGGUAUUUGAGAAUGGGUCCGCUUCCUGUCCAGGAGAGAGGGGGGAAGAAGACUUGGUUGGUUUUCUUUCUCUCUCCACAAGGCAAGGAAAAAAAUGAAAUCAAGGUUGUCAAUUCUAUUUUGAUAUGUAUUUUAUUUAUUUAAUUGAAAUGAAAUAUUUUAGUUUUGAAGUAUUUUAAUAUAUUAUUUUGGAGUUGUACUGUUUAUAUAUAUAAUUCAAAUUAAUUAAUUAUAACAUAAUUCAAAUUUAAGAUAAAUUAAUUAUAAAUUAUGCAAUACAAACACAAUGCCAAACAAAUAUAAUUUCAAAAUUUAAAAUAUUUUUAAAUAGUCAAGAUUAAAUAAAUCUUUAACUUAAAGUAAUUCAACUUAAACAAAAUAUCAAAAUAUUAUGAAAGUAAAAUGUUUUAAUAAAAAUAUUUUAAAUAUAAAAUUAGGUUAAUGUUAUCAAGUGGUUAAUGGAAUCUAAAGCUUCCCUUGUUUUGCUCAAAUUCCUACAAAGUAUAAAUAUGAAAAAAAAAAUAACAUGAAUAUAAACCAUAUAUAUUAGUGAUAAAUCUAAUUUUAAAAAAUUAAUAUUAUUGUUAAUGAAAAUAGUAAUAAUAAUUUUCAAUAUUAUUAUUAAUAUCAUUGCUAUUGAAAAUAGUAAUGAAAAAGAGCUUUUUUAUAAUCAGGUGGUUUAAUUAAUGAAAUUAAGUAAGGUUCAAUUUGAUUCAAUGACUUUUUAAGAGUGGAACGAAACAUGUGGAAUGAAACUGGAACGUUUCGGGCGAAAUUUAGCUGAAAAAUCCAGAAUGGACCGAGAUUUAAAAUUAGAUGAAAUUUGUUCCGUUUUUUGAAUUAAUAUGGAAUGUUUCGGCCAUUCUGGACGAAACGGAACGGAAUUGACAACCUUUAAUGAAAUAAAAUGAUGGUGGUUUUCUGGGACCCGUGUAUCCCCUGAAAUUGAAAGACCAUACGACCACGUGUUGCCGGUAAGGUCACUUUCAAUAUUCAUCCCCAUCCUCAUCCUCAUCCCUAUGGUCUAAAUUAUAAAACUAAGUCCUUUUAGUUUUGAGAAAUGAAUUAAUUAGUUAUUUUUUAAAAAAAAUAAAUUAUUUAGUCCUUUUUGUUCAUUUAUGUUUUUUAUUUUUUAAAAAAUAAAAGAAAGGAAAUGAAUAAAUAAAUAUUAUAAAAAAGUAACCUGGUCAAUGAACUAGGUAAUUUAUUUUUUUAAAAAAAGAUUAAUUAAUUUAUCUUUUAAAAAUAGAGAAACUGUUUUUUACGAGAAUUCACAUUUUUUUAUAUCCAAUAUGUAUAUUUAUGCUCUAAAACAGACAUCGGUUAUGAGAAGAUUUGACAAAAAUACCGACAACAUUGACAAAAAAAAAAAAAACACUAAUUGAGAAUAUUUUGAAAUGUUUGGAACCUAAUUGAAAAAAUUCAUAGGUUUUAAAUGUAAUUGAGAAUGGAUAUACAAGUUGGAGAGUAACAUGAGGGUUUCCCUAUAAUAGCAUGUUUUAAAUUAUAUAUACUUAUAAUUUUUAAAUUUUAAUUUCAUCGUUUGAUUUUUGAACAAAUAAAAUAUGUAUAAUUGGACCAGGUCUAAAGAUUAGAUGGGAUCAAACCAAUAAGAAGCCUGAGAAAGUCCACGAAGAAAAACCAGCUAACAUUGCAAUGAGGACUUGUUUCAACAGUUAGAAUGACAAAAAACCCAGCUAACAUCGGCAAAUAUAGGUUCAAAUUACCAGUUUACAUACCUGACGUCCACUGUGCAUAAAAAUAUCUGUAUUUAAAAUGAUUUUUAUAUUUGAUCCUAUUAUUACAUACCUAACGUCCACUGUGCAUCAAAAAAUUACCUGGAACUAUUAAAAGAUGUUUUUAUUUAUAAUUUUUUAAAAUAUAAAAACAUGUUAGAGAAGUUGUGUAUAUACAUAUUAUUGCUGAAAAAAAUAUCUUUAUUUAAAAUGAUUUUUGUAUUUUAUCCUAUUAUUUUGUACCAUUAGAGAAGACAACACAAUAAAACUAUAUAGGUGAUGAGACAAAGGGAUAAAAUGGGGAUCCAAAAACAUUUUAAAUAUUUGUUAGUAAAUUAAAAACACCAGAAGCCAAUAAAUUAUAGUGUUGAUUAUAAAAAUAAAGGUAUUAAGUUAUAAUUUUGUUUAAAAUGCAAGGGAUAAAUUUACACCACAUCCAUUUAAUAAUUAUUAUUAACAUAUAUUGAAAGACCUUGAUAUUUCAUUAUAGCAAUAAACAGUGAAAUGUGAUAGCCUUAGUUUGGUCCUCAAGAUUUACUAAAAGAUCUUAGCAUUUUAUUAUUGCAAUGAACAUUAAAAUGCUUUGACCUUUUACAAUUUGAUCCUCGAGGUUUUUUAUUUUAUUUUUUGCAAUUUCAUCUUCUGACAUUAAAUUUAAUGGACAUUGAACUUUAUAGUUUAUUUUGAUUUAUUUUCUAUGAAGUUAUCUUAGUCUUAUAAUCUAAGUUUUAACAAGUUAAUACGAGUUUACUCGACUAUUUUUUUGUAUUUUUUUUUAAAUUUAACUUCAUCCUUCAGUAUUGAGUUGAUUGAGAAUUUGAUUUGAUUUUUUUUUAUUUGUUUUAUAUAGGGUUAUCAUGGUCUCGUGACCUGGAUCACAAGUUUUGCGAGUUAGCCAAUUUGAUUGGAAUUUUUUUAGGUCCUUUGUUCUUUUUAAUUGAAUUUUUUUUUCAAUUUCAUUAUUCAAAUUGAAAAUUUGAAUUCAGAAUUUUUUUUUAUUUCAAAGUUAUCCCGGUCUCAUGAUUGAGGUUUGAUAGGUUAACCGAGUUUGAAUCAAUAUUUUGUUUUUUUUUUAAUUGAUUUUUUUUUCAAAUUAAUCCUUCAACAUUGAGUUGAUUGGAAAUUGUGCUUUAUAAUUUAUUUUUAUUUAUUUUCUAUAGAUUAUCAUGGUUUCAUGACCCAAGUCGCAGGUUGCUUGAUUGCCUCGAGUUUUUUUUUCUUUUUUUUAAUUAUUUUUUUUCAAUUUCAUCCUUCAAUAUUGAGUUGAUUAAGCAUUAGAUUUCAUAAUUUAUUAAGCAUUAGAUUUCAUAAUUUAUUUUGGUUUGUUUACAUGAAGUUAUGACAACCUCAUGACUUAAGUCACAAGUUUGGUUGGUUAACUCAAGUGGUUUUUUCGUGCUCUUUUUUUAAUUGAUUUUUUUUUCAAUUUCAUCAUUUAAAAUUAGAUUGAUUGAGAAUUGAGCUUCAUAAUUUAUUUAAGUUUUUUUCUAUAUAGUUAUCUCAUUCUCAUAACUAAGAUAACCUAGGUUGACUCGACUUCUUUUUCUAAUUGAUUUUUUUUAAUUUUAUUAUUUAAUAUUGGAUUAAUUGAGAAAUGAGCUUAAUGAUUAUUUUUUAUUUACUUCUACAGGGUUAUCAAGGUUUUAUGAUAUGAGUUGGAGAUUUGAUAGGAUAACUUGAGUUGAUUCGAGUGAAUCCAAAUCGAUUUGAGUAAAUCUAAGUAGAUACAAUAUAUUAUUGUCUUACUAUUUUAAAAAUAAUAUCGUGCUGAAUUUUUUUUUGUCAAGUUACAUUUUUACCUGUUAUUUAAGUUGUUUUUAGAUCUAUAAAGUUGAUUAUAUCAUAUCAGGACAGUUUUUAUAUAAUUUAUUUAUUUAUUUUUGCUAGAAAAUAUAUUAAAUAAAUUACUUCAUCAACUUUGCCAAUAAAAACAUGAUAGGUUCGAAUCAUUUUCCAUUUAUAAUAGUGUUUAGAUAAGUGAAUGACCUCAUCAACUUUGCUAUUAAAAACAUAAUACGGGCAACCGUGUGAUUAUGGUUUGGAUCCAGGUCGGGACAAGUGCUGGAGUUCAUGAUCGUGACCACCUAGCAUCUUCGAAUAAUUCUCCUCUAUCACCCUUUUUUUUUUUAAUGCUUGUUUGGAAUAAGUUUUUGAGAUUAGUUGUGAUUAUGAUGUCAUUCUACUGUCAUUAAGAAUAAAUUAACUCUAACCGAGGAUUAAAACAGAUUUAUCAAAUACUUUUUGCACUGUGUCUAGCUAAUGGAGAAUAUAUUGAAAAGAAAAAUACCCUUGAGAAUUCACAGCCAAAAGCGUUAAUCACGUUUCUGUUUAAAACAGGAAAAGGCAUGCAAUAAUUGACAAAUGUUGCUUGAAAUCACAGCUAUCUUCCUUCUCUGAAACUUCAAUUGCUUUAUUAUACUUUUAUAGGCAUAGCCAAGUCAAGCCUGCACCGUGUGGAGCCUAAUCAAUAUAAUCAGAGACUGCUGUUUGCCUUUUCCAUUUUUCAUCUCAUACUGCUCUGUCUUCUCAAUAUUUACUUGCCAUUUCUUGCUCACCUCCCCUGCUUUUAGUUUUCCUUGCACCUUUUCUACCUCUUCUUUUCCAUUCCAAAACAAGCUAUGGCUGAUGCUAUUGUUUCUGCUCUCGCGAGUACAAUCGUGGGGAACUUAAAUUCCUUAUUUCUUCAAGAGCAUGGACUUGCU